UNUNNANNUUUUUNUNCNGGCUCAGGACGAACGCUGGCGGCGUGCCUAAUACAUGCAAGUCGAACGAACUCUGGUAUUGAUUGGUGCUUGCAUCAUGAUUUACAUUUGAGUGAGUGGCGAACUGGUGAGUAACACGUGGGAAACCUGCCCAGAAGCGGGGGAUAACACCUGGAAACAGAUGCUAAUACCGCAUAACAACUUGGACCGCAUGGUCCGAGUUUGAAAGAUGGCUUCGGCUAUCACUUUUGGAUGGUCCCGCGGCGUAUUAGCUAGAUGGUGGGGUAACGGCUCACCAUGGCAAUGAUACGUAGCCGACCUGAGAGGGUAAUCGGCCACAUUGGGACUGAGACACGGCCCAAACUCCUACGGGAGGCAGCAGUAGGGAAUCUUCCACAAUGGACGAAAGUCUGAUGGAGCAACGCCGCGUGAGUGAAGAAGGGUUUCGGCUCGUAAAACUCUGUUGUUAAAGAAGAACAUAUCUGAGAGUAACUGUUCAGGUAUUGACGGUAUUUAACCAGAAAGCCACGGCUAACUACGUGCCAGCAGCCGCGGUAAUACGUAGGUGGCAAGCGUUGUCCGGAUUUAUUGGGCGUAAAGCGAGCGCAGGCGGUUUUUUAAGUCUGAUGUGAAAGCCUUCGGCUCAACCGAAGAAGUGCAUCGGAAACUGGGAAACUUGAGUGCAGAAGAGGACAGUGGAACUCCAUGUGUAGCGGUGAAAUGCGUAGAUAUAUGGAAGAACACCAGUGGCGAAGGCGGCUGUCUGGUCUGUAACUGACGCUGAGCUC
rnacentral:rRNA from 2 species